AGAUUUUCAGCUGUCACAAGGAGAGUAUGCUGCGGUCGAGAAUCUGGAGAACAUCUGUGGUGAAACUCCUGGUUGGUAUGGAGAUGCAGCAACACUAAUUCAUGGAUUUAUUGACGCACGAAAAAAAUGAUUAUUAGAGAUUUCUUCCUGUCGAUGUAAAAUAUUAUCUUAACCGCAUCACGAAAAUAUCUAUACAAUAAAGUUUGUAAGCCUGCAACACCGCAUUCUAUGUGACUGUGUUAAUUUUAUGAACUUUAUUUUUUGAUUAAAUAUCACUUUAAUA